rnacentral:ribozyme from 1 species
CGGAUGCCUCGGCGCCAUCCUCCUCCUCGUGGAUGGUUGAUUUUGGAGACAAUGCCACAACCAAACUAAGACUGGGUGGGCGUCAUGCAGUCACCCCUGACCCGAAAACCCUCGUGGUAGGGCUGAGCAGAGGCGAC